CUUCUCCUCUUUCUACAUUUUUUUUCCCGUGUGUUUGUUGGGUUUUCAGCUUUAGAGCCCGUUUGGAUUGGCUUAUAAGUUAUUUAUAGGCUGUUUUUAGUUUUUUUGAGUGUUUGACUGAUCAGCUUAAAAUCAUUUUGUGCUUAAAAUAAACUCAAAAAAAUAAUUUGACCCAUUUGACUUAACUUAUCUAAAGCAGCUUAUAAGAAAAAAAAUAAGUUAGACUACCCAACUUAUUUUUUUUAGUUUAUAAGCUGUUUGUAGCUUAUCGUCCAUCCACACAGGCUCUUAGUUCAAUAUGCUCUUUUAGUUGCUUCUAUUUAUUUCGUAAUUGUACUGCAUUUUAGUUAGUGUGGAGCUGGUUCCCAUAACUUGAUUGGUGAAUGUCUGUUAGUUGUUUGACUUAAUGAUUUAUGAAUAUGUAGUUUUUUUCUAGCAGUGACAUAACUCAUAUGAGUGUAUACGUUUUAGGGCUAUUUGAUCACUUUAUUUAUUUUCUUUAUAAGUUCUAAGAUUUUCUUCUACUCUAUGCACCGAAUAUCACUAAAAAUUUUCAUAGGGCAGAUAAAGCUAAAUAUGCGGGCUCGCAGGUGCAAAAUAGUUAUUUGAAAACUAUUUCAAGCAAAUGCACAUUUUCCACACGCCAUGGCAAUGCUUCAAUUUAACAGCUAAUUGAGGUAAAAUAUGUUUCUGGUCUCAUCUAAACUUUUAUUAGAAUUUACAACUUUUUCCAAUAAUUUAUUUUCACAUUUGAUAUAGUUAUAUUUGGUGUAAAAUAUUCACACAGUUUAUCAUUUUGCGAUCAAACUUUUUAAUUUUGAUGUUAAUGAUGCUUCAUGGUUGUGCUCAAAGAAGACUUAUUGAAGAGAGGUUGGGCUAUAUCUCUAAACUUUCCACCUUUCAGCAAAUGCCACCUACAACAAAGGCCAAGUAUUCAACCUCGGAUGACGCCUGAAUGUUCUUUUAGAGGUCAUUCAGUCUAAACAUUUAACAUGGUCGAUGACCUUUUGAUUAGAUAAUUUCUCGUCGCAGUUAAUUCUCUCUUUCAAUUUCAUUGUCUGUAGUAGGCCUUUGAUUGGGAUAACCGAGAGAAGAUGUUUAUUGAAAUUUAGGGGAUACUAGAAGACAGAUUAAGGUAUUACAGCAAGAAGAAUCCCUGGAGUUUGCUCUGUUUCUUGGUCUUAUAUACAGAGCUCUCAACUUCAUCUUUAAAAAGUCUUAAUUUUUGAUAGCUAAGUUUUUGUUUUUUAUGUUUCCUCCCUGUUCUUUUGGUUCUGUUUUGCCAUUAUGUUGUCAAGAUCUUGUUUCAAUCUGCUGAUUUUUGAUGAUUGUUCUGGUGUUGAUCGGGCUUCUCUAAGUAAAAUGAGAGUAGGAGGAUCAUUGUAGCAAAUUAGUUGCCAGUGAAGACUUAUGGGAAUAAGGAGGAAAAAAUGAUGUUUUGAAUGGGACAAAUGCUUUAGAUACACUUUGUGAAUUGUGCAGCUAAAAGAUGAGUUCUCACCAGAUUUGGAGAAUAUUAUGUGGGAUGUUUGCAGGCAGAUUUAGAAUUGAAAGAACAAGAGGAAGUAGCAUAGUUCCUGUGAAAGAAAUUAAGGUUUUUUGCCAAACGCUGCUAAGAGGAACGCAGCAAAGGAGGCAAAAUACAAAAAACGCAAUAUCAGUUCCAAUAAGUAACUAGCACAGCUGUAUUGUAUACGGUAAAAACCGUAUAUAAGCAAGACCGGUGAGACCGGGGACCGGAGAUAAGAAGAGACAGGCAUGAUCACCGAGUCUUCCCUUAGAACUGGUGAUAUUGCACCAGCUGCGGUUGACCUCAGAAAAGUGAAGCAAAUUUGUUUGGUCCGGUAUCACCGGACCAAACUCCGCAUCACAGCCAGUUCGGUUUCAGCAUGACCGAGUUGAUCAUGGCCGUUGGUCCGGUUUUAGCAUGACCGAGUUGAUCGUGGCCGUUAGUCCGUUUAAUCAGUUAUAAAAUCACCACGCGUCAACAUCGUUCUGUCACAUUGUAUCGACGACCGUACGGGUGUCAGACCGUACGGCCCAACCUUAUCCUUUUAGGGUUUACUUUAUUCUGAAAAAGGCUUUAUGUUGUAGGCAAGGCCCAUAAGGGAAAACUAUAAAUAGGAAGCAUUUCCCUACUUUGAAGGGUUAGCUUUUCCAAGAUCAAGAACAUUGUAAUAUAAAUUAUAUAUUGAAGCUCUCUCUCCUUUGGUCCG